rnacentral:rRNA from 1 species
UGAAUACGAGACGCUAAGGCGUCGAAGUAGUGUAUGUCAUACUUCCAAGAAAAGCUUGCACUGUCAUAGAUAAAAAACGCCUGUACCAUAACCGACACAGGUGGGUAGGUAGAGUAUACUAAGGGGCGCGAGAUAACUCUCUCUAAGGAACUCGGCAAAAUAACUCCGUAACUUCGGGGGAAGGGGUGCCUUAUUCUUAAGGUUGCAAUAACAAGAUCCAAGCAACUGUUUAUCAAAAACACAGGUCUCCGCUAAGUCGUAAGACGAUGUAUGGGGGCUGACGCCUGCCCAGUGCCAGAAGGUUAAAGGAGCUGGUUAGCAUUUGCGAAGCUAGUAACUGAAGCCCUGGUGAACGGCGGCCGUAACCAUAACGGUCCUAAGGUAGCGAAAUUCCUUGUCGGGUAAGUUCCGACCCGCACGAAAGGCGUAAUGAUUUGGAUACUGUCUCGGAGAGGGGCUCGGUGAAAUAGACUUGUCUGUGAAGAUGCGGACUACCUGCACCAGGACAGAAAGACCCUAUGAAGCUUUACUGUAACUUGAAAUUGAAAUUGGACUUUAUUCGCGCAGUAUAGGUGGGAGGCGUUGAUUAUAAUCUUGCGGGAUUAUUGGAGCCAUUAGUGAGAUACCACUCUUGUAAUGUUAGAUUUCUAACUUUGAAUCAUUAUCUGGUCAAAGAACAGUUUCAGGCGGGCAGUUUGACUGGGGCGGUCGCCUCCUAAACGGUAACGGAGGCGUACAAAGGUUUCCUCUGAACGGUUAGAAAUCGUAUCUAGAGUGUAAAGGCAUAAGGAAGCUUGACUGUGAGACCUACAAGUCGAGCAGGGACGAAAGUCGGUCUUAGUGAUCUGACGGUACUGAGUGGAAAGGCCGUCACUCAACGGAUAAAAGUUACUCUAGGAUAACAGGCUGAUCUCCCCCAAGAGUUCACAUCGACGGGGAGGUUUGGCACCUCGAUGUCGGCUCAUCGCAUCCUGGGGCGGUAGUACGUCCCAAGGGUUGGGCUGUUCGCCCAUGAAAGCGGUACGCGAGCUGGGUUCAGAACGUCGUGAGACAGUUCGGUCCAUAUCCGGUGUAGGCGUUAGAAUAUUGAGAGGAGCCUUCUUUAGUACGAGAGGACCGAGAAGGACAUACCUCUGGUGUACCAGUUAUCGUGCCAACGGUAAACGCUGGGUAGCUAUGUAUGGAGUGGAUAACCGCUGAAAGCAUCUAAGUGGGAAGCCCACCUCAAGAUAAGUA